rnacentral:rRNA from 1 species
CCUACGGGGGGCAGCAGUGGGGAAUAUUGCACAAUGGGGGAAACCCUGAUGCAGCGACGCCGCGUGAAGGAAGAAGGUUUUCGGAUCGUAAACUUCUAUCAGCAGGGAAGAAGAAAGUGACAGUACCUGACUAAGAAGCCCCGGCUAACUACGUGCCAGCAGCCGCGGUAAUACGUAGGGGGCAAGCGUUAUCCGGAAUCACUGGGUGUAAAGGGUGCGUAGGCGGUAGGGCAAGUCAGAUGUGAAAGCCCGGGGCUCAACCCCGGGAUUGCAUUUGAAACUGUCUUACUAGAGUGCAGGAGAGGAGAGAGGACUUCCUAGUGUAGCGGUGAAAUGCGUAGAUAUAAGGAAGAACACGAGUGGCGAAGGCGGCUUUCUGGACUGUAGCUGACGCUGAGGCAAGAAAGCGUGGGGGGCGUACUGGAUUGGAUACCCCUGUAGUC